rnacentral:rRNA from 1 species
GUAGGGAAUAUUGGGCAAUGGAUGCAAGUCUGACCCAGCCAUCCCGCGUGCCGGAAGAAGGCCCUCAGGGUUGUAAACGGCUUUUGACGGUGAAGAAUCGACAGGAUGCGUCCUGUUUUGACGGUAGCCGUUGAAUAAGCACCGGCUAACUCCGUUCCAGCAGCCGCGGUAAUACGGAGGGUGCGAGCGUUGUCCGGAUUUAUUGGGUUUAAAGUGUGCGUAGGCUGGAAGGUCAGUCAGCGGUGAAAAGCUGUCGCUUAACGAUAGUCUUGCCGCAGAUACUUCCUUUCUUGUAUGAGGAGGAAGCCACUGGAACGGAUGGUGUAGCGGUGAAAUGCAUAGAUAUCAUCCAGAACACCGAUUGCGAAGGCAGGUGGCUGUACCUUAAUCGACGCUGAUGCACGAAAGCAUGGGGAGCAAACAGGAUUAGAAACCCCUGUAGUCC